GAGUCUCACCUCAGUUUCAUGGGCGAGAUUGGCCCUUGUGGAGUUUGAGUCCAACCCAGAAGAAACAAGGAAGCCUGGGUCUUCUCCAAGUGUUGCAGCAAGCUGGCCUGGGGUCCCCCCAAAGGUAGCCAGAGACAAGCCCAGGAUCACCCAGUCUGCAGCAGGGUGCAAAGGUUUGGGGUCCCCCCCAAAGGCAGCCAGAGCCAAGCCCAGGGUCCCCCGAGCAUCAGCAAGAUCUACACCUGGAGUCCCCUCAAAGACAGCCAGAGUCUAGCUCUGAAUCCCCAGAAUGUCAGCCAAAGCCAAGUGAGGAGGCACCACGGUGUUCUCAGGGCCAGGGAGAACCAGCCUCCACGUGGGCCCAGAGUACAGAGGAGCUGACCCGGGGGGUGGGGGUGGCAUGAGCACCUAUACCCGGGCCCAGGAUCACCAGAGCCUUACCCCAGUCAGCAGGUGCCGAGUUCAGAGCCGCCACGGCCAGUACGGGAGCUGACACCCAAGGCACCUGGCUCCCUGCCGGGGUCAGCAGGAGCCAAGCAAGCUGCCUCUCCGCUGGGGAGAGGUAACAGGCGGCCAUGAGGCAAAGAAAUGAAAACAUUCUUCAGCUCAGGCUCCAGUAUCCAAGAAGUCGAAGGAGGAGGAGGAGGAGUUUCCUGUAAUCCAGACGGGAGGCCCAAAUUGGGAUGGGUGUGGAAGGACCAAAAUCU
rnacentral:lncRNA from 1 species